UACGAAGGGGGCUAGCGUUGUUCGGAAUUACUGGGCGUAAAGCGCACGCAGGCGGCUCGAUAAAUUAGAAGUGAAAGCCCCGGGCUUAACCUGGGAAUUGCUUUUAAGACUGUCGGGCUAAAAUCCAGAAGAGGGUAGUGGAAUUCCGAGUGUAGAGGUGAAAUUCGUAGAUAUUCGGAAGAACACCAGUGGCGAAGGCGACUACCUGGUCUGGCAUUGACGCUCAUGUGCGAAAGCGUGGGGAGCAAACAGG
rnacentral:rRNA from 1 species